GACGAACGCUGGCGGCGUGCCUAAUACAUGCAAGUCGAACGCUUCUUUCCUCCCGAGUGCUUGCACUCAAUUGGAAAGAGGAGUGGCGGACGGGUGAGUAACACGUGGGUAACCUACCCAUCAGAGGGGGAUAACACUUGGAAACAGGUGCUAAUACCGCAUAACAGUUUAUGCCGCAUGGCAUAAGAGUGAAAGUCGCUUUCGGGUGUCGCUGAUGGAUGGACCCGUGGUGCAUUAGCUAGUUGGUGAGGUAACGGCUCACCAAGGCCACGAUGCAUAGCUGAUCUGAGAGGGUGAUCGGCCACACUGGGACUGAGACACGGCCCAGACUCCUACGGGAGGCAGCAGUAGGGAAUCUUCGGCAAUGGACGAAAGUCUGACCGAGCAACGCCGCGUGAGUGAAGAAGGUUUUCGGAUCGUAAAACUCUGUUGUUAGAGAAGAACAAGAACGUUAGUAACUGAACGUCCCCUGACGGUAUCUAAACAGAAAGCCACGGCUAACUACGUG
rnacentral:rRNA from 1 species